rnacentral:rRNA from 1 species
UCGAGAAUAUUCGACAAUGGGCGAAAGCCUGAUCGAGCGACGCCGCGUGCAGGAUGAAGGCCCUCGGGUUGUAAACUGCGGUAGUAGGGGAGGAACGCAAGUGACUGUACCCUACGGAAAGUGGUUGGUAACUACGUGCCAGCACCAGCGGUAAUACGUAGACCACAAGCGUUAUCCGGAUUUAUUGGGCGUAAAGAGCAUGUAGGAGGUCCGGUGCGUCUCUGGUUAAAGCCCACCGCCUAACGGUGGAAGUGCCAGAGAUACGAUCGGACUGGAGGAUGUGAGAGGUGCAUGGAACUCACGGUGUAGGGGUGAAAUCCGUUGAUAUCGUGGGGAACACCAAAGGCGAAGGCAGUGCACUGGUACAUUCCUGACUCUGAGAUGCGAAAGCGUGGGGAGCAAAAAGGAUUAGAUACCCAUGUAGUCCCUGAGCGGGCUGGCAAGGCGCAU